AUUUAUUUACAGAUACGGCAUGGUAACAGGCCUUUUCGGCCCAAGAAAACAAUAUCAAGAUACAAAAUGAGGCUGUCUCGUCACUCCAUGUUCAAGACGUAGCAGAACCCGAGACUGUAGUCCUUCGGCACAAAGCAUCCCCGGUGGCUGCACGGAGCUUCCUCGAGCACGUACUUCUGCGUCCUGGAAUUACUGACUUCACAAUUUCUCCCAUGCCCUUUCUAUUCUUCUGUGGAACUGGCUUCUGUUGCAUCAACUUGCAUUUAUAUAGCUCCUGAAGUAUCCCAGCACUUGACAGGACAAGCAAAAAUCAAAACAAAGGUUAGGAAUCAUGGUACUGGACUUGAUGGAAACAUGGUGAAUAUGUAUGAUUCCUUUGUGAAAAGAAUAGAGGAACACUAAAUCUUUACAGUAAUCACUGAUAAAGCCAGUCUUAAUAGACAUCGCUCGUUACCCUUGAGAAGACAACAACAACUGAAUGCCCUUCCAAGACACUUCAAGAACACUCUACUUAAGAGUCAACAGCCCCUGACAAUAAAACUGACAUUGUAACCUAAAGUGGUAUAAAAGUAAAAAGGAAGGACAUGUAUUUUCUGUGGCAUCUCUAAAGACAAAGUGAAUGGAUUACAGUCAAUGCGGCAUAGCCCGUGACAUCUUCUGAUUAGUCAGAGUCAGGGGAUCGGAGGUAACUAAUGAGGCUAACGCGGAAGCACAGACUCCUCAGCAGUCAUGGGAGAGGUUGUGGACGGGUGGGUGGAUAGUUGGUGAGGUUAUACAGAACCUCAGUGAGCUCCUGAUGUGUGGCCUUGACAUUUGCAGCAGCACCCUGACUGCUCCUUCUCCGGUCAUGGGCCAAGGAUUCCCUGGUCAGUGGGCAUACAGUAUGUACCAUCUGUGAACCAUUUUUAUUCUCAUAACAAUAAAAUAAUUUGCUUUCAGACAUAAAUAUCAACUAAAAUGUUGAUUAGAACUUAUUUGUUCUCUUUUCAAAUAAGCU